rnacentral:rRNA from 1 species
GGCGAACGCUGGCGGCGUGCCUAAUACAUGCAAGUUGAGCGAUGAAGAUUGGUGCUUGCACCAAUUUGAAGAGCAGCGAACGGGUGAGUAACGCGUGGGGAAUCUGCCUUUGAGCGGGGGACAACAUUUGGAAACGAAUGCUAAUACCGCAUAACAACUUUAAACAUAAGUUUUAAGUUUGAAAGAUGCAAUUGCAUCACUCAAAGAUGAUCCCGCGUUGUAUUAGCUAGUUGGUGAGGUAAAGGCUCACCAAGGCGAUGAUACAUAGCCGACCUGAGAGGGUGAUCGGCCACAUUGGGACUGAGACACGGCCCAAACUCCUACGGGAGGCAGCAGUAGGGAAUCUUCGGCAAUGGACGAAAGUCUGACCGAGCAACGCCGCGUGAGUGAAGAAGGUUUUCGGAUCGUAAAACUCUGUUGGUAGAGAAGAACGUUGGUGAGAGUGAAAAGCUCAUCAAGUGACGGUAACUACCCAGAAAGGGACGGCUAACUACGUG